rnacentral:misc_RNA from 1 species
CCCUCUCGUCGAUACCACUGUUUUGCUUAUCCCCCUCCGUUCUUUCCAAGUUGCAUUGCUCGUGCACGCGGUGCUCAGCAGCGCAUCGAAACACGCACACAGGCGAAAGUAGAAGACGGCACCCUCCCGCAAACUGCAGGGCACUGGACGGAAGUGUUUUUGUGCACCAGGGGUCUUGCCGCCGUAGGGCUGCUUGCUUGCCUUCCUGCUUUUCUGUGCACAGCCACCGCUUCUUCACACUCGCGCCCCCCUCCUUCCCACCCACACACCCGCCUAUGCGCAGGUGCCCACACUCAGCAGUAUCAGCUCUUUUUCGUUGCGAGGCACGACACCGCACCUUUUCCAAAGUACGUGGCCCCGUAGAUUUUCAGUAUAGGUUAACGGGACAUAAAAGGAAAUAAUAAAGCAGCGCGAACGGGCGCGCUAUCGUGGACAUGUUCGGCGAGUCGUACGUGGAGAGCGGCGCGCCGAAUGCGGCGCGCGCGGGUGGUAACUAUGCUACCACUCGCAUCGAGUCCCCAGCCCUGCGUGCUGCAGGUGCCUCUUCCAGUGGUGCGAAUGGGCAACAGCAGCACCUGCGCUCCGUGAAAGAAAUCAUUAAGACGCUGGAUGAGGAGCACGAGAUUAGCGGCCCCAAGGGCGGCUGCUGCUCUCGAAUUUUCGUCCCGUUUCUCACGCUUGCCAUGAUUAUUGUCAUCUUUGUGGCCAUCGUCUACACAAACGGCACCGGGUCGGAUGUCGAGGCUUCCCCACGUGUGGCGAUGAUAGUGCUGGAGGGGUUCUCUGGCACUGUCUUUCACGCUCUCAUGCAGUCUGGUGUGCAUAUGCCCAACAUCGCGCACAUGCUCUCAUCGCAGAAGGGUGUUUGGGCUAAGUGUGCGACGAGCAGCCAGUCUAGCUGUGCUCGUGCUGUGGUGGUGGAGAACGACACCUCUGGAGAAGUUUACGUGAGUGCGGCGGCCGCGAUGACGUCUUUGUUUUCUGGUGUCUCGCCUCGCGAGCACCAGGUGUACAACGGGAGUUUGGAGAGCAUGUCGAUGUACGCGAACACUUCCAAGAUGAACCCGAGUAUCGCGAAGCGCGUGAAGGACGCGGGGAUGAAAGUGUCAGUUGUGGGCACCUCGCACGCCAUCAACUCCCUCAGCAUCGCGUUCGGCAGCUGCUCUCAGCCGGGUGUGCUCGACAUGGAGUGCGCGGCGUCGCGGGAGGAGCUGCUGCGGGCGAGCAUCGACGAGUACUCGAGCAGCGUGCAACUGGAUUGCCUCGCGUCGUCCUCGUGCAACAUGGACACGCGCAAGAUGAAUUCUCCGACCGACCCGAAGCAAUGCAGCAGCGGCCAGGCCGAGGCGCAGUUCACGCGCCACCUGAACAGCAUCUUCGGCGGACUCGCCUACUCGACCCAGACGCAGGAGGCCGCCGUGCAGAACACGGCCGCGGACAACUUGGACGACUCCCUCUUUGUGUUCCACUUCGAUUCGCUGGCGGUGCGGGCAGCCAGCACCUACCUGCCGGGGUUCCAGUACAACGUCUCCUCCAAGGAGUACGUCGCGCAGGUGUACCUGCUAGAUGCGCUGGUGGGUCAGGUGAUCAGCUACGUGCGCGACCGCGCUCGAAGCCAAAAGGAAAACUGGCUUAUCCUUGGCGUCUCCGAUCACGGCGGCAACGACAAGCCGCACGCCAUUCCAAACCCCGUCUCUACCUCUGAGAGCACGAUUGCCUUCUUUAUGGCCACCUACACCGACAACCUGAAGCGCUUCGUGACGCUGGCGCCGCUCCAGCGGCCGGUGACGCAGCUCGACGUGCUGCCGACAGUGCUGACAUGGCUGAACGUAGCGCCGUUCGACGCGGAGACGAGCGCCGUCAUCGCCGGUAAGAACACAACGGCGGCGAGCCCGGCCGUGGAGGCGCGCGUGAUGGAGCGGAGGCACUUCGAAGGCCUUGUGCAGGGCAUCUGCUCCUCUGGCACCUCCCUGAAGGACUGCGCGGUAUAAUUCUGCCCCUUUCUUUUGUCGGCGUCUCAUGCGAGGCGGCUUCAUGGAGGACGCGAGAGGGAUGGGGAAGGGGGUGUGGUGAGCCCACAGGUGAUCCAGGAGAGCGCGCGCCUGUGACGCGGCGUGCACUGCCGACGAUUUCCUUUUGUGUGUUGAAUUCCAUCUGCGCCUCCGUCCGUGCGCGUAGGGCGUCUCCACCCUCGUCCUGGCAGCUUCGUUGUGUGCCGUCUUCCCCCCUCCCCUGCAUUCGUCUUCAUGGCCGUGGUCCUUGUCGCCUCUGUCUCCCCGCCCUCCCCGCCCCUCCAACGGUUGUGUGCUUGAGUGUGUGUCGAUCUUUUCUCUGUUUCGUCACUCGAGUUUCUUAACGACACCGGAACCAAAGGAAACGAAAAAGGCCGACAGCGCGAUGGCCGUGCAGGGUCAUGUGCGUGUGGCCACUCCUGAUGUUGACGAGGUCCCACAGCGCACGUGUCGUUAAGGCGGCAUAAUUGCGUGCGUUCGAAGCCCCGCCCACGCUUACCGAGAUCGAUGAGGGCGGCAGCGUGAAAAUGGCGGGAGAGGCAGAGCUGGGGGCCCCUCUUCUCUCUCUGCAUCUCCCUCUUUCUCGGUGAUGGCAGCGCUGGUGGACGGCGCUAGCAGAGCGUGUGCCCCCUCUAAAAAGUGAAGUGUUAUGUGUGUGCAUAUGAUGCGUCUGCGAGCACACUGCAGUAGGCGAAGUAGC